rnacentral:rRNA from 1 species
UACGAAGGGGGCUAGCGUUGUUCGGAAUUACUGGGCGUAAAGCGCGCGUAGGCGGUUUUGCAAGCCAGAGGUGAAAUGCCUGAGCUCAACUCAGGAAUGGCCUUUGGGACUGCGAGGCUUUGAGGACUGGAGAGGUGAGUGGAAUUCCCAGUGUAGAGGUGAAAUUCGUAGAUAUUAGGAAGAACACCGGUGGCGAAGGCGGCUCGCUGGGACGGUACUGACGCUGAGACGCGAAAGCGUGGGGAGCGAACAGG